rnacentral:rRNA from 1 species
UACGUAGGGUGCGAGCGUUGUCCGGAAUUAUUGGGCGUAAAGAGCUUGUAGGCGGUUUGUCGCGUCUGCCGUGAAAAUUCGAGGCUCAACCUCGAACUUGCGGUGGGUACGGGCAGACUAGAGUGUGGUAGGGAGACUGGAAUUCCUGGUGUAGCGGUGAAAUGCGCAGAUAUCAGGAGGAACACCGAUGGCGAAGGCAGGUCUCUGGGCCACUACUGACGCUGAGAAGCGAAAGCAUGGGGAGCGAACAGG